UUAGAAUAAUAUAAAGCCCCUCACGACCCUCAGUCUUUGAUUCUUAAAGUUGUUAGGACACUUGUCUCCUCCACUAUACUUGCUUACAGUUCACAUAAGGCUGAUUUUGGUGCUUAGCAGCAGUUUUUGGCUCGAAUCAUGUGUGUGUAUAUAGAGGAUGCCCUUUUUACAAUGAGAAGAGAAUCUCAGUUCAGAAUGGCAAACUCUGUGACAUGUUGGCGCUGUAAGUACCCUUGAUGUAGUAUUUAUCUGCUGAUUCCGGUACUCUGUUGAUGCCCCUGCUGGUGGUUAUUUAGUCAUCUUUCUCCUUCUGUUCUAGCAAGGCAGUGCAGUUUUCUCAUACAAGUGGAAGGGAUUUGGUGAACAUGGCAAAGUAACACACAAAUGUUUAUUGAAGAUGCUCGACACCCAGCAAAAUACAGAAUGCUUGCUGGAAUUGUGGACGUAAUAUUCUCUGAUGUUCCUCACCCUUAUCAGGUUCAUUUUUGAGAUAUAAAUCUCCAACUGUCCAACAUUGUCUGCUUGAUUUUUCUGUGAAGAGUUUCUUUUCACUUAUUUGGUCUCGUGUUGAAACGGUCAAUAUCUUAUGGCUUCUAUUAUUUAACUUGAUUAUUGGUGUCUUUUCCUUUUGAAUUUUUUUCUUCUCAGUAGUCAUAUCUUUUUCUUUUCUGUUUCUUUUUUCAUUGCACGUUUUCAAGUUUAGUGCUUCUGUAGUGUUGGACGGUAUUAGCUGUCUUUUUCAGUUAAACUGCAGUCUGUUGGAUAUUACUUCCUACAGUGCUGAUUUUUAACAAAGAGCUGAACUAGUUUGUGAAAUUUUACUGAAUUUUGAAUGUUUGUUUCCUUGUAUAUUGAUUUCUAUAUUACUUCAUUUUCAACUGGUAUUUUUAUUGGAUGGCUUUACUCCCUACAAUGCUGAUAUUUUAGCGAGGAGUUAACUAGUUUUUCAAAUAGAUUAUCUUCUGAAAAUUGAUUUUUUAUCCUCAGAUAUUGAGUCUUUAAAUUCUUUUCAUUUCCAAAAUGUUGUUGUAUUUCGCUGUCGGUGUUUCAAAAUUUUCUUCCUCUUUGACUACUCUCAGAAAGCAGAUGAUGAGUUACUCGGAUUCCCCUUCUAGACAUCAUGGGUGAUGCAAAAACCGAGUUUCUGAUGCACUAUUCAUUGAUGUGAUGUUGAAAUUCUUAAUAUUUGUCUUUGCAUCAUUUUUUUCUGAUCCAUUAUUUGUUGGCGGAAUGUUUGAAGCUUUUAAUCUUUGCCGUUGCAUUAUUCCUUUCACCAUUUAUUGAGUCUUUUCGUUCCAUUCAUUUUCAAACUGGUGCCGUAUUUCUUCAAUCGCUUUUUCAGAAUUUUCUUUUUCUUUCCCUUUACUUAGAAUACAGAUGAUGAGUUACUCGGAUUCCCCUUCUAGACAUCAUGGGUGAUGCAAAAACCGAGUUUCUGAUGCACUAUUCAUCGUUUGUAAAUUUUAAUCUUUGUCUUUGCAUCAUUUUUUUCUGAUUCAUUAUUUGUUGGCGGAAUGUUUGAAGCUUGCCAUUGCAUUAUUCCUUUCACCAUUUAUUGAGUCUUUUCGUUCCAUUCAUUUUCAAACUGGUGCCGUAUUCCUUCAGUCGCUUUUUCAGAAUUUUCUUUUUCUUUCCCUUUACUUAGAAUACAGAUGAUGAGUUACUCGGAUUCCCCUUCUAGACAUCAUGGGUGAUGCAAAAACCGAGUUUCUGAUGCACUAUUCAUCGUUUGUAAAUUUUAAUCUUUGUCUUUGCAUCAUUCCUCUCUGAUGCACCAUCAUUUAUUGAGUCUUUGCAUUCCUAUAUUUUUAAACUAGUGCUAUAUCUCCUCUUCAUUUUUUUAGAAUUUUCUUUUUCGCUGACAUAGAAAGCAGAUGAUGAGUCACUCGGAUUCCCCUUCUAGACAUCAUGGGUGAUGCAAAACCCGAGUUUCUGAUGCCCUAUUAAUUGGCGGAUAUUUGAAAUUAGUAAUCUUUUCCUUUGCAUAAUUUUGCUGUUUCUUUUAGCUUGAAAAAGGAUAUGUAGGUAAAAUCUUUCAACUUUUUAAGAAAUUUUGGGGCAAGGAUUUUUCAGGACUAUUUUUUUAAAUUUUUUGUCCAACGUGCCGCGUGUCUUAAUCAAUGAAAUCACGCAAUAAAUUGUUAUUGAACUGGUGUAGCUCAUGGGUCAUGAUUAUGAGAGUGCCACUUGGAUAAGAAACUUCUGGUUUCAGUGAUUGGGAAGAUUAUUGCCUAUUUUUGGAGUUGUUGAGAGAUCUAACCGUCUGGUUUGGUAACAUGUGGAUCAUGGACUAUUCCUCGCUUCCCAUUUUUGUCGGAGAGAAGGUUUUGGGUCUUCCAGAUACUCAAGCAACUCGAAUCCAAAUUGUUAUUCCUUGGAUCAUCCAUUUCACCAGCAAAUUUACAAUUACAUAAUGCAGCAGGCUUUGCUUCGUAGACCUGUUUGGACUAUUAAACAGGGCUCUGUCCAUGUGAAUUUUCCUGAUGAGGUCACCGAAGGGACUGAGUUUGUUCAGACUUUGGCAUCAGAAUUUCAAAAAUUUGAAAAUCAGAAUGGGCUCGUUCGGUUGUUAGACGACCUUAGUAUUGAUGAUCAUAGACCAUAGAAAGUUCUGGUCCGAUAACAUCAUAAAAUAAGAGUUUGGGCCAUUAUCCACUUUAUCGGCUAACAAUUCUGGAUCCUCAUGCAAGUAUACUUAUUAAUAGCUCAUCAUGCACUCAACAGAGGGCUCUCUUCUAGUUAUGUAUUCUAAUUGCACGAGGUGCAUCCUCAAACUUAAAAUCACCAAGUUUAGGGCUACGUGGUUGACAUUUAUAAAUGUUAUAUUAGAUGUACAGAGGUAUAUGUUGCUCGAGCUCUUGUAGGAGAUCCUAUUUAUUAUCGCAUGUAUUGAUAAUAAAUGUUUAUCCGCCUCUGAUGUUGGUUCUCCUAUAUAUUGGUAUUAUGAUAGCAAUAAUGUCCAGUUAAUCCUUAAAGCUGGUUGAUGAUCUGUGUUUAAAGCAGUUGUGAAUUACGAUAGGACCGGACUAAAUGUAAGCAGUCUUUGGUAUA